rnacentral:rRNA from 1 species
UACGGAGGGGGCUAGCGUUAUUCGGAAUUACUGGACGUAAAGCGCACGUAGGCGGCUUUGUAAGUCAGAGGUGAAAGCCUGGAGCUCAACUCCAGAACUGCCUUUGAGACUGCAUCGCUUGAAUCCAGGAGAGGUGAGUGGAAUUCCGAGUGUAGAGGUGAAAUUCGUAGAUAUUCGGAAGAACACCAGUGGCGAAGGCGGCUCACUGGACUGGUAUUGACGCUGAGGUGCGAAAGCGUGGGGAGCAAACAGG